rnacentral:rRNA from 1 species
UACAGAGGGUGCAAGCGUUGCUCGGAAUCAUUGGGCGUAAAGGGCAAGUAGGUGGUCUCGUUUGUCUGAGGUGAAAUCCCUGGGCUUAACCUAGGAACUGCCUCAGAAACGGCGAGACUUGAGUACUGGAGAGGGUCGCGGAAUUCCCGGUGUAGCGGUGAAAUGCGUAGAGAUCGGGAGGAAUACCAGAGGCGAAAGCGGCGACCUGGACAGUUACUGACACUCAACUGCGAAAGCGUGGGGAGCAAACAGG